rnacentral:lncRNA from 1 species
UAAUCUGCUGGGGCGGGCCUGAUUACGUCACUUCCGGCGCGCCCACGGGUGCCCGCAGGGGGCUGAUUCUCAGUUGUACAGGAUGGUUUCACAACUGUCACCUCUGCCCCAGAACUCACAACAAGAAAACUGCCAGUGGAGGUGAGACCAACAUGGCACUUGAGUUUUGUCAACUGGAAUCAGUAUCCUUUUAGAGGUCUCCAAGACAAAGCUUGGAAGUUCCCAGGAUUAAGGAGUAUGGCUAUGCACGCUCAUGCACACUAUGGCUUGAGUUUGGAUGUACAGAACAAAAUUGGCAGGAAUCAGUUCUCUUCGCCUGUGGGGACAGGGAAGCAAAGGUCUCCAGACUUGGCAGUAAGUGUCUUUAUGUGCUUAGCUUCUCCCUGGCAAAGAAAUCUUUAUUUCUUCAUCUGGGUUUCAUGAAGAACUGUUCUGUGAGAAGCCUUCACUGAACUACUGACUACUGACUUGUGCUGAAGGACCCUUCCAGAUCUCAUAUGCCCUGCUGCUGCUGUGCCUGUCUAGUUCUGCAUUAUCAGCUGGACCCCUCUCCAUGAGUAGCCUUGGUAAGCUGGCCAGUCUUCCUGAUGGAAGUGUGAACAACCUUAGGCUCUUUCCUCAGUGUUCAAGACUAUUAAGUCAGAACUUUCCCCAAAGGUUGAAAGAACAAGAUGCAAAUCCAUAAAUUUUGCGAAGGGCUAACCCCGAGGGUCAGAGAAGCCUAAGAAAGCAACAUUUGUUUCCUGUAACUGCACCUUAUAAACAGCAGAAGAAAUCGAUAAGCUGCAUGAGAUAGCCCAUGGCUCCCAGUGCUGACUCAUGUCAUUGGGUGUCUGUGCUAGGACUCCAUGAGAGCCGUGGACUAGCACCAUUCCCAGUGGGGCUGUCUGGGCUGUGGCUGCAGAUGCAGUUUGGCAGGGAGAGCCCCACCCCACCACCACCACCCAAAAAGGUUACUUGCUUCAGAGCUGAGAGGCUCUAAGAGAGAACAGGGACUCAGCAAGUGCAUGUGACAGCCAGGUCUGGAGUACUCUGCAAAGGAACAGCCCCUCCACGUCUCAGGUCACAGGAAUAGAUUCUAGGAGUCCUGUUUUCUCCUGAAACUAUCCUUUCAGACAUUUGCUUCUGCAGUUUCCUAACCAACACAGCAAGAUAUAUAGUCACACUCAAAUAGCAAAUAUUUAAACCAUUUAUUGCCAUUAAGUUACAGAUCUGAGUUACAUAUGGAAAACACCGAUACUUGUUAUCACUGGAAAUUAUGUGUAGACAUGUGACCAACUGAGGGUUUACUAUUGUCAUUAAAGAAAAAGUCAAGAAUUUUGAGGCACGACUACUCAUGCUGACAUGAUCUGUGGCUGCAGCAGUGGCUGGAGCACUGUCUCUUUCAAGAGCUGGUCCUUGUACCGCUAUGCAGAUGGCCGCUUACUCAUCCUGGAAAUAAUUGGAGACAAUUUCAAUGAGACACAAAGUCUACCGCCAGUCCCAGAGGCUCUGCAUGGCUUUAGAAGACAAGUUUCUAUAACAUGGUUUUGUAACAAUGGUACAAUAUGUUUUUCUAAAAUUGAGUUUUUUUUCACCAAUUCCUCAAAACAAUACAUUAAAAUGUGCUUACUCGGAUUUAUUUCACGCAUGAGUACUCUAUCUGCAUGUACAACUGCAUGCCAGAAGAGGGCAUCGAUCGGAUCCUAGUUGUAAGGCAACCAUGCAGUUGCUGGGAACUGAACUUGGGACCCCUGGAAGAGCAGCCGGUAUAAAGAGUUGAAACAGAGGCAAGCAGCAUGGUAUGAGGUCUCUCUACUUGGAAAGCCAUGGGAACAAGUGCCCUGCCAGCAGAACCACCUCAGUCUGCUCCUCUCUCUCCGCCUGGCCGCCACGGUCUGAGGUGACUAUUGUUAAGGAAGGAGUGCGGGCUCCUUUCUAACCACAGGAGAGUGUGGUCCACACAGAGGCAGGCAGGGUCCAAGAUGUGCGUCACCUACAGCUUACCAUCUACCGUGGGAGUCAUCUCUAACUCUAUGAAAGCAGAGAGUCCACAGUGCCCACAGUGGCUACAAUUUUCUUACCGUACUAUUUUGUGGAGUCACCAAGGUUCAGACAGAGGAGACAUGGAGGGAA